GGUAAAAUGAGGUACAGUUCUGUAUAUGAGUGGCAUUUUCAGUAAAGAAGUAUUGCGUGUAGACGAUUUCGUUGCAUACCGCUUCUCUGCCGAUCCUUAUCUUAGUGCCUCAAGCAGUAACGACUCCAGUUUGUCUCUGUAUCGCCAAAUGGCGAAUUAAACACUCCAAAGGAAAUAUGCAAGAUGGCAAAGAUCAAAGGUCAAGUGAAGUGGUUCAACGAGUCUAAAGGUUUUGGUUUCAUCACUCCGGCCGAUGGCAGCAAAGACGUGUUCGUUCACUUCUCCGCUAUUCAGGGUAACGGUUUCAAAACUCUGGCCGAAGGCCAGAACGUCGAAUUCGAAAUCCAGGAUGGCCAGAAAGGCCCUUCAGCAGUUAAUGUAACUGCCCUGUAAUCUAGGUUGCUGCGGCAACGGUUAGGUUAGUCAUUUGACUAACGGAUAACA
rfam:Candidatus Sodalis pierantonius str. SOPE, complete genome.